GUUUAAUCUUUCCUUUAAUCAUUUAUUUUGCAAAUGCAUUUCCAAAUGUUGAAUUUAAGAAGUUAUACAAACGGUGGAGAUAAUGAAACGGAUCAUAGAAAUACAAGGAAUUCUUUUUUUUUUUUUUCAUAACAUUAACAAGAAACUGAAUAGUCUGGCAUAGAGCAAUCAUCAAGAACGUUACCCUUCUACAGGAAUAAAAUACACAGUUCGAUAUGAGUUUUGAAAGUUUACCUGCUUCCGGUGCUAAGAAAGGAGCAAACUGGACUUAUAAAAUUUAUUUCAUACCUGAAGCUGACAAAAUUUCUAGUUGUCAAUAUGAAAUAGAGGAUGAAGAACUCUUUGGUAAACUCCAGACACUUUUGGAUGUCAACGAAACCGUAGACUAUGUCUGGGCUUAUAAACAUGACCUUUUUUCCUGGCUGCCCCAUGAUCUCAACAUAUUUUAUCAUAUGUUUAUAUUGUUUAAAACACACGAUUGGUGGUGGUCGAUCGAAAAGAAUUCUGAAGGUCUCACUAUUCAACGGAGCAAAGUUCGGGAUGCCGUUCUGAAUAAUUAUCGACGAGUUCCAAGACCGUCUACGAAAGAACUGAUAAACGAUACAGGAUGUAGAAGUAUAAUGGAUUUGAUCGUUUUACUUUUUAAAAGUAACGAACUGAACAAAGAAUACCAUUACUUAGAUAGAAACUGUCAAGAUUUUGCAAGAGCCGUAUUUAAUUAUAUGGCUACGAGCAAAAGGUUAUAAACAAAGGCCUCGGUAUUAAGCAGGUAUUAACAUAAUCAUAUUUCUUCUCAAUAUAACAAAUGCCUUUAACGGAUAAACAAAAGAAAACAAACAUAUAAGAUUUAAAAUAUUUUGCCCAAUAAAAUCAAGACUCUUUUUGGAAACUUAUUUGAUAUCAUUUUUAUUAAACAAAGUUAUAGACAUAUGUCAGUGUAGGGGGAGAUGUAUCCUUAAAACAAAUUCCGUAAUAAAGGAUUAAUUAAUUAAUUUAAUAAAUUUAUUUUGUGGCAUUUUUAAGCUCUCAUGAAAUUAUAAAAAUAUCGUAGAUGAAAAGUGUACAAUGUGGCACCUUUUACCUUCAACGAUUUUUACCAAAUUGUAAAUAGUUCAGUGGGAAAAGAGGGAUAUGGCACCUUUUUAUCCAGAAAACUUUUGUUUUCUCAGCAUUGAAAUGUGUCCAAUGAUACAUUUCUGACCUACCACAUUGCAACCAUAUCAUAAUAUUAUGUUUCUUCCAUAUUGGAAUAAAAGGUACCAUAUGAUAUAUGAUUAUUUAAACCAUCACUCAUUAAAUACUUUUAUCAAAUAAUUAAGCAUUUAACGGUGAUUGUGAUCAUACAAUAGUAAAACAUUUAUCAGGUGAUUGUGAUUAUACAAUAAAACACUUUUUACUCACAUCAACAUAUUAUAUUUAAUUUAGCUUUAGAUAAAUUGUGUAACAAUGCUUUUUAUUCUGAGCAUAUAGUCGCCAUUUUCCCGUCCGUCCGUCCGAAUGUCCGUCUGUCAACUUUAAACCAACUUGAAAAGCAGAUAGAUCGCAUUGGGUAGCUGUGCAGUGCAUAAGAUCCGAACUUCUGCCUUCUCUAAUUUUGGAGUUAUUGUGUUCUUUUUACAUUUUGAAGUUUGUCCGGGACAUAACUCUGAAACUAUAAGAGAUAUCAACAUUAAACUUUGUAGGUAGAUAAAUCUCAUUGAGUUAAAAUACAAUGCAAAAGAACAAACCAUAACUCUGCCUUACCUAAAUUUGGAGUCAUUGCGCUUUGUUCAUUUUUAAACUUUGAACAUUAGCCGGGCCAUAACUCUGUAACCAUAAGAGGUAUCAACAAGAAACUUUGUAGGUAGAUAGAUCUGGGUAAGUGGAUGUGCAGUGCAAAAGAAUCAUAACUCUGUCUUGCCUUAUUUUGGAGCUAUUGUCCUUUGUUCAUUUUUACCUUUGAACUUUAUCUGGGACAUGAGUCUUGCACUAUAGAUAUCAUCAUGAACAUUUUAGGUAGACAAAUCUCAUUGAGUAGAAGUGCAAUGCAAAAUAACCAUAUCUCAUCCUUGCUUAAUGUUGGAGUUAUCUGUUAUUUUUUUACACUUAGAACAUUUUCAAGACAUAGCUCUGAACAUAUAAAAGAUAUAAACAACACGUUUUUGUCAGUAGAUCGCAUUGGGUAGAUGUGCAGUGCAAGAGAAUCAUAAUUAUUCCGUCCCUAAUUUUGGAGUUAUUGCCCUUUGUUUAUUUUUACACUUUGAACUUUGUCCUGAACAAAAAUCUGACACAAUAUGAGAUAUGAACAAGAACUUUUGUAGGUAGAUCUCAUUGGGUAGAUUAGCAGUACAAACGUAACCAACGUUAAUCUGCCUUGCCUAUUUUUUUGUUUUUCGAGUGAUUGCCCUUUGUUCAUUUUUUCACUUUGAACUUUGUCAGGGACAUAACUGUAAAACUAUAAGAGAUAUCAACAUGUUGCUGCAUAGGAAGAUAUACGUAAUUGCGUUAAGAUGCAGUGCAAAUGGAUCAUAACUCUGCUUUUCCUAUUUCUUGAGUUAUUGCCCUUUUCAAGUUUACACUGUGAACUUUGUCCGGGCCAUAACUAUAAGAUUAUUAGAGAUAUCAUCAUGAAACUUUGUAGGUAGAAAGACAUCAAUACGUUAUUAUAAAGUGCAAAUAAAAGUUACUCUGCCUAACCUAAUCUUGGAAUUAUUGCACUUUGAACUUUGCCCUGGUCAGGACUCAAACUACAAGAGGUACACUUUUCUGUGUCCAAAACCUAAUCGAGGAGCAUCAACCGGAUCAAAGGGCUCUUGUAUUUGUAUGUUGUUGAUGUUUAAAGAGCUUUUUAUAGGGUUUAUAUAUUUACAGUAGUUACAUGUAGUUGUUACUUGUAUUGUAUAAAUAAAAGGAAAUGUUUUUAUGAAUCAAUAUACAAUGAGUAUCUCAAAAUUAUCUUAGAAUAUUACAGAGGUUUAAAUGAUAGUGCUAAAAGACGUGAUGUGUUAAAUCUAUUUUCAAAGUUAAGAAUCUAUUAUACUUUGUCUACAAGAAACACAUUUUGAAAAAGAUAUAGAAAAGAAAAAAUGUUUUAAUUGUGGAAGUCUUUCCUGUAAUUAUUUUUGUUAUCGUUCGAAAAGCCAGCCGCCGAUAUUGUUUACUGUGGAAAAUGACGGACGCGGAGAUAAAAAAAGUUUUGUUGUAAUUUUGGAUGACACAUAGAAAAACUAUUUUAAAUUCAGCAGGCAAACAGAAAAAAAACAAAAUUUCACGAUUAUUAGUGUUUAAGUGGCAUAAGAGAUUUAGUGAUGGACGGGAAAACGGACAUUACUUUGAAAAGCAGUAACGGUCAUGACUGCGUAAUUGAAGAAAACAUUGUACGUUAAAUUGACCUUGACGCCAAUAUUAUUUUGGAGUGCGCCGCUGUCGACGACAUGUGCUCAUGUAAAAUGAAAUACUGUUGUAAUAUAAGAAGCUACUAACAUAAAUGUUCCUGUGUUUAUUGGCUAUAAAUUCCCCCAAGCAGUGUAAGAAUUUCAAAUCAAUAUCUUAAAUAUAGUUUACGCAACAAAAAAAGUCCUAGAUUUUUUGGAUAACCCCUCGUUAUAGUGUAUUUUAUUAGUUUCAUUAAUAAAAUUAAUGUUCUCCUUUACUUUCUUAUCCACAAACGGAUCCCGGUAACACAAGUUUAGUACUUAAAGACGUUUUCGGUUGUUUUUUGUGCGCAUCGUACUGCGCUUGCAAGGGAGAUAAUCACGGAUAGUUACCCUUCACAAAGAAUUUAUUUGAAUAGAAGGAGAACGGGUAAGAAUAAUACGAGAGAUGGUUGGACAAUAUCAGAUACGGUAUUCUUUUUAACAUUAGUAUGACAGCAUUGGUGAUAAUUACGGGCGCGUCACACCACCCAGUAAUGGCAGUGGCAUAAGUGCGUCGCUACUUGAUUGUAAAGGCAGACAUGCAGUAAAAGACGUUUAAAUGGUACAUUUAAAGAAACAUCAACAGAAAAAAUUAAAUCCAUGAAAGAAAUGUUCAUUUCUUCAUUUAUUUAGGAAUACCAACUGAUUAGUUUCUUUCUUUUGUAGAGUGAAGAAUAAUAUUG